rnacentral:rRNA from 1 species
GACGAACGCUGGCGGCGUGCUUAACACAUGCCAGUCGAACGAAGAGCGAUGGAAGCUUGCUUCUAUCAAUCUUAGUGGCGAACGGGUGAGUAACGCGUAAUCAACCUGCCCUUCAGAGGGGGACAACAGUUGGAAACGACUGCUAAUACCGCAUACGAUCCAAUCUCGGCAUCGGGACUGGAUGAAAGGUGGCCUCUAUUUAUAAGCUAUCACUGAAGGAGGGGAUUGCGUCUGAUUAGCUAGUUGGAGGGGUAACGGCCCACCAAGGCGAUGAUCAGUAGCCGGUCUGAGAGGAUGAACGGCCACAUUGGGACUGAGACACGGCCCAGACUCCUACGGGAGGCAGCAGUGGGGAAUCUUCCGCAAUGGACGAAAGUCUGACGGAGCAACGCCGCGUGAGUGAUGACGGCCUUCGGGUUGUAAAGCUCUGUUAAUCGGGACGAAUGGUUCUUGUGCGAAUAGUGCGAGGAUUUGACGGUACCGGAAUAGAAAGCCACGGCUAACUACGUG